GAAGCCGGCCAGAUCGUCGCUGCCUUCGGAGCGCAAGCUCCGCAGGGAGAGGAAAGUCCGGGCUCCACAGAGCAGGAUGCCGGGUAACGCCCGGCCGCAACAGUCGAGGCCUCGCGGCCAAGGCGAAGGCGAGGAACAGGGCCACAGAGACGAGUCGCCCCCGGUCAAACGGGAGCGGGUGAAACGCGGCAACCUCCAUCCGGAGCAACGCCAAAUAGGCGGACGACGACGCUGCUCGCCGAGUCCGCGGGUAGGCGGCUCGAGCCCGGCGGCAACGCCGGGCCUAGAGGAAUGACGGUCAUAGCGCGUGGUCUCCACGCGCCGUAACAGAACCCGGCUUAUCGGCCGGCUUCGCGC
rnacentral:RNase_P_RNA from 1 species